GGGGGCGUAAUGGCUUCGACGGGGGUUUGAACAUCAAAGCGGCGAGCCGUGUAAUUUCUCUAUCACGUAAAUCUGUGAGAAAUUAAAUUUAAACGCAAAUAGAAAUCAAUUAGUAGCUGCCUAAUUGCGGCUUCUGUUCCUCUAAGCCCUCCUGCCGGUUUAGAUUGAACAUAAUCAUGCAGGCAACUGUAAAUCGGAUAAUCGGACGCUUUACAGUACAAUUCGGUUUAGUUUGAUAUAAGCCCGUUAUCGAGGCGUAUAUUCAAAUGAAAAAUCAAUAUCGGUAACUACGCUCGUAGAAGCAUUGAUUGGAAAAAUUUCGGACGCGGGUUCAACUCCCGCCGCCUCCACCA
rnacentral:tmRNA from 1 species